ACUCUUUAUAAUUCAGCAAACCCAUAAAAAUGGGAAGAAUAUGCCUUUAAGUCUUUUUUUUCUCCUCAUAGUUACAGAACACUUAUCAUGGAAGCAGUGACUUCGCCACGCUUAAUAAAAACUGGUGAUCCUUUAUAAACAGCUGCUACUGAGACAUGCUUUGAACAGUAUUCGUCCAGAAGCGGUGAUGUUGCAGUGAAAGCUCUGAGAAAGGAGUCUGUUACACUUCAAGUUUAUCUCCUUGUAGUAAGGAUCUGAAACAUCCCCUAAAAGGUUCACAUCUUAAUGUCUUAAGGGUGUGGUAGUCACCCUGUGGUAUUCCUAUGGGGUGUGGGUGCGGUGGUACUUUUAAGAUGCUGAGCCUGCCAUGGAAGGGCCCCAGCCCCUCCUCUUACUUUUCUUUUGCUUUCCAGAUGCCAGGAAGUGAACACCUUGUGCCUUUACCCCACUUCCCAGGCAUUGCCUCACAGGCCCCGAAAUAAUUGAGCCAACAAACCAUGGAACUGAAACCUUCCAAGCUAUGAGCCAAGACGCCUCUAUAAGAUGCAAAUCUCUCUGGAUCAGUCAAUGAUGUUCUGGGUGUAGCAAAACACUACUUAAACCUUGGGCAAAAAGAAGAGGGUUGGGAUAGCGAGAAGGCUCAGCAGGCAGCCCAGGUGUUUUGUGGCACUGGUGAAGCCGGUCAUCAUGAAAGCCUUUCAGUUGACAAUGAUCUGAGUUCCUAGACGAUCAUGGAACAGAUUUGUUCACCAACCCUGGAUUGCCCACUCCAUUCUGAACACUGCACUGAUUUGGACUCUAAAGAAGUUUAGGGUGGAAAAGCUUAUUAUACCUUUAUAGCCUUUGGGACAAGACAAAGUACUACAGUUUAGGCCAAAGUAAGCUUGUAAAUGCGGCCAUCCUAAAUCAGCACUGGCCAACAGAGAUGAGUCUAGUGUCAUUUAAAAUGUAUUUUAAUUCACACACACGCACUGCACACAAAACAGCUAAAAUGCUAAAAUUUUCUGUGAUGGUCAAUAAUAAUUGCCUCUGGGCACUCUUGUGAGGAGCUGUCUAGAUUAAGUCUCUGAGAAUGUCUGUUGGGAUUAUCUUGGUUACAUUGAUUUCUGUGGGCAGAUCCACAUGAACUAUGAGUUGGACUGUUCGCUGAGUCGGGGAACCUAGAUUAUAUAAAGUAUGAAAGGCAAGCUGAA